UACGUAGGGUGCGAGCGUUAAUCGGAAUUACUGGGCGUAAAGCGUGCGCAGGCGGUUUUGUAAGCCAGAUGUGAAAUCCCCGGGCUUAACCUGGGAAUGGCAUUUGGGACUGCAAGGCUAGAGUGUGGCAGAGGAGACUGGAAUUCCUGGUGUAGCAGUGAAAUGCGUAGAUAUCAGGAGGAAUACCGAUGGCGAAGGCAGGUCUCUGGGCUAACACUGACGCUCAUGCACGAAAGCGUGGGGAGCAAACGGG
rnacentral:rRNA from 1 species